rnacentral:lncRNA from 1 species
UAUUUUUUCAAAUCAACUUUAUUGAUAUAAUCUACAUACAAUAAACUACAUCCAUUGUGUUCAAGUCAAUGCAUUUUAUAGAUGUGUACACAAAUAUAAUAAAAAUACAGAACAUUUUCAUCAACCCCAAAAGCUUUUCCUUGUACCCCUUUGCUGGUCAUUACUCCCUCUGCUCCUAGCCCCCGGCAGCCACUGAUCCUUGUCACUUCACUAUGUUUACAUUUUUAGAAUUUCAUAUAAAUGCAAUCAUUCAGUAUAUAAUACUCUUUUGUGUCUGGUUUCUUUUGCUCAAAAUGAUUUUGAAAUUCAUGUUACAUAUAUCAGUAAUCCAUUCCUUUAUAUUGCUGAAAGGUAUUGUAGUAUUCAUUUAUGAAUAUACCACAUUUGUAUUAUCCAGUCACUUGAUGAUGGACAUGUGGGUUAUUUACAGUUUGAAGCUAUUUAAUGAAUAAAACAGCUAUCAACUUUAAUGUACAAGUUUUCAUGUGGACGUAAGAUUUUUUCUCUUAAAUUCAGAAUGGCUGGGUUUUAAGUUUGUUGUAUGUUUGUUUAUAAUUUGCCAAACUGUUUUACAGUGUUUGUGUCAUUUUGUAUUUAUUCUCAUUUGCCACGGUUCCAGUUGCUCCACAUCUUCCAUCUUCCAACACAGAAUGAUGUUGACCAUUUUAAUUUUAGCCUUUUUAAUGAGUGUAUAGUGUAUGUAGUAUUUUAAUGAGUGUAUAGUGUAUAGUCUUUUUAAUGAGUGUGUACUUUAAUGAGUGUGUGAGUGUUUAAUGAGUGUAUAAUGUAAUUUUAAUUUGUAUUUCUCUGAUUUCUAAUGCUGAAAGUUCUUUCUUGUCCCUAUUGGCCAUUCCAUAUCUUCUUUCAUGAAUGAUCUCUAUAUGAAUUUGCUGCCGUUUAGUAUUGGGAUAUCUGCCUUUUUACAAUUGGGUUGUAAAUUUCUUUAUAUUUUCAGAAUACAAAUCUUUUGUCAGAUAUCUACUGCAAAUAUUCUCUCAUUCUGUCUCAUCAUGUUUCCUAACAGUGCCUUUCAAAGGAAAAAUUUUAAUUUUGUUUUAUUUUUUAUUUUUCGUCUUUUGUCUUUUUGUUGUUGUUGUUGUUGUUGUUGUUGCUAUUUCUUGGGCCGCUCCCGCGGCAUAUGGAGGUUCCCAGGCUAGGGUUUGAAUCGGAGCUGUAGCCACCGGCCUACGCCAGAGCCACAGCAACGCCAGAUCCGAGCCGCGUCUGCAACCUACACCACAGCUCACGGCAACGCCGGAUCGUUAACCCACUGAGCAAGGGCAGGAACCGAACCCGCGACCUCAUGGUUCCUAGUCGGAUUCGUUAACCACUGCGCCACGACGGGAACUCCGGAAAAAUUUUAAUUUUGAUAAAUCAAACAUCACUUUUAUAGUUUAUUAUUUAUGUGUCCUAAGAAGUAUUUUCCUAUGGUCCUGGUACCAAAUAUUUUUAGGGCCACACCCACAGCACAUGUAAGCUCCCAGGCUAGGGGUCUAAUCAGAGCUGUAGCCACUGGCCUUUGCCAUAGCCAGAGCAACAUGGGAUCCUAGCACAUCUGUGACCAAUGGCAUCACAGCUAAUGGCAAUGCUGGAUCAUUUAACCCACUGAGCAAGGGCAGGGAUUGAACCUGUGUCUUCAUGGAUACUAGUCAGGUUUGUUACUGCUGAGUCACAAUGGGAACUCCCUGGUACAUUUUAAAGGGUUGUUUUGUAAUGAUAGUUAUGAUUUUGUUACGAUUAUGGACAUUUUCAGUUUUUUUCAAUUUUGAUCAAUUAUGUUUUUCUAGGAAAUCAUUUACUUUAGGUAGUAUUUUCUUCUGGUCCUCUUAAUUGACCCAAUAUCUGUGGUUGUUUUUACACAUUUGUUGAAUUUUGCUGUCUACCUUAGGAUUCUGUGGAGUAUCUAGUUUACUGAGGUUUUAUAAAAUCUUUAUUUAGGGAGUUCCUGCUAUGUGCAAGGAUCCAAAUGCAGUGGCUCCGGUUGCUGUGGAGGUGAGGAUUCUAUCCCUGGCCCCACACAGUGGGUUAAGGACCCAGCAUUGCCACAGCUGUGGCUCGCAUUUGAUCCCUGGCCCUGGAACUUCUGUAUGCCAUAGAUUCAGAAAAAAAUGUUUUAAUAGUAAAAAAUGGAUUGCUUUAUAAAUUUUGAUUCCUGAAUAAAUUUAGGUAUACUUUCAGAUGUAAGAGAAACCUAAAAUAGAAUGGUUUAUACAAAGAAAAUCUAUUUUUAUCAUAUAGCAAAAGUCUGGAAGUAACCUGCUGCUAGUGUUGAUUAAAUAUAUUAUCAGGGCAUAUCUCUGAUUCUCUUGGCUUUUCUUCCAUGGUUGAGAAAAUGCUGCCACUGCCCCAGGCAUCAUGUGCAAGGCAGGAGUAAAUUAAUGACAGCAGCUAAGUCUGCCCCUUUUCUAAAGAAAGCAAAGUUUUCUGAGAACAACCAGUGUUUUGCUCCUCCUGGCCUGAGUCAGUUCACUUGGCCACUACCAGCUUUAAAAGAUGCUAAUGGGGUAAAUAGUGAGAGAGGAGUACUGGAAUUGCUCAGUCAACCAACAUUGUCUACAGCUGUGAAAAUGGCUAUCCAUACCCAAGGGAAAAAAAAGAAUCACUUUCCCAAAAGACAUACCAAAAAACCCACAAACACUUAAAAAUCUUAUGUGAGGCUUGACCAAGACCAGUAGUUCAGAAAAUGCAAAAGAGUAAAUGGGCAUAUUUAAGCAUGUAAAAAUUAAAAUAUGAAUGGAAAAUAUCAUAUACAAAGUCGAGAGACGAGCAAUAGUUUUUUUAAAGUAGUUACUACCUUUAAUAUAUAAAAAGCUGAUGAAAAUUGAUAAGACAAUCCAAAAAGAAAAAAUAUAUCAUUCAUAAAAGCAACUUGGAGAUUACCAAAGGGGCCAAGUAAUACUUAAAGAGGCAUAUAAAUAUAUGUGAUUAAAAUAAACUUAGUUAUCAUUCUGAAAUCAUAAAACUCCUCAAGGUCAAAGUAACAUCUAUUUUUAAUAGAGGGAAGGGUACAUUUUUAUACUAAUAUUAAAAAUAUGAAAUGCUAUCUUAUUUCAGAGAAAUCUGGCAACCACUAUUAAAAUAAAAAAACACAAUCCAAUCCAUCUGUCUCCUAAAAAGUAUAUUACAGGGGGGAGAAAAAAAGCUCCAGUAGGUAAGGGCAUGAUUAUGUCUGUCUACUAGCCAUGGUGCUAUGCCACCUCUUCAAGACGGUUAUCAGACAUUUCGUCACUAGGAAAUGUGAAUAGGCAGUGGCAAAGUGGUUGAACAAAUUACGGCAUGUCCAAACCAUGGACUCUUUAGAUGGUUAAAAGUAUGACAGUGCAAAAAAAUGCAAAAAUGUGUGUAUAAUACAAUCCCAUUUUAAGACAAUGGAAAUAGUCAUAUAUAUGUGCACAGAUAACAUAUUAUUGUGUCUAUAUGUGAUUAUGAGUAAAAAGAAAAAUGUGGGGAGUUCUUCAGCAUUGCUUAUCUGUUGAUAGAUCACUGAUGGCUAGAGUUGCAAAGAGUGGAGGAAAGUACAAAAUUCAAGAGAUAAAAUGUAUUACAUUUAAAAAGUCACAUUUACACAGUUUUAUGUGUGUGCACAUGUGUGUGUUAAAAUACAUUUAGGGAGUUCCCUCGUAGGUCAGCAGGCUACAGAUGUCACUACUGUGGCUCUAGUACAGCUGUGUUGCAGGUUUGAUUCCUGUCAUGCCACAGGUGUGACAAAAGAAAUACAUUUGUUCAGGGAGUUCCAAUUGUGGUGCAGUGGAAACGAAUCUGACUGGGAAAAAUGAGGUUGUGGGUUCCAUCCCUGGCCUUGCUCAGUGGAUUAAGGAUCCGGCAUUGCUGUGAGCUGUGGUAUAGGUUGCAGAUGUGGCUCAGAUCUGGCAUUGCUGUAGCUGUGGCGUAGGUGUAGGCAGCAACAGCUCCAAUUCGACUCCUAACCUGGGAACCUCCAUAUGCCAAGGG